rnacentral:rRNA from 1 species
AUUGAACGCUGGCGGCAGGCCUAACACAUGCAAGUCGAGCGGAUGAGUGGAGCUUGCUCCAUGAUUCAGCGGCGGACGGGUGAGUAAUGCCUAGGAAUCUGCCUGGUAGUGGGGGACAACGUUUCGAAAGGAACGCUAAUACCGCAUACGUCCUACGGGAGAAAGCAGGGGACCUUCGGGCCUUGCGCUAUCAGAUGAGCCUAGGUCGGAUUAGCUAGUAGGUGAGGUAAUGGCUCACCUAGGCGACGAUCCGUAACUGGUCUGAGAGGAUGAUCAGUCACACUGGAACUGAGACACGGUCCAGACUCCUACGGGAGGCAGCAGUGGGGAAUAUUGGACAAUGGACGAAAGCCUGAUCCAGCCAUGCCGCGUGUGUGAAGAAGGUCUUCGGAUUGUAAAGCACUUUAAGUUGGGAGGAAGGGCAGUAAGUUAAUACCUUGCUGUUUUGACGUUACCAACAGAAUAAGCACCGGCUAACUUCGUG